ACUUGCUUGAGGUGACGCAGUUAAGAAGCAGGAGCCUUGGUGACGUCACCUAUCAGCCUUUUUCCAACUUCCUAGACUGGUGUUGCUGCUAAUUUAUAGAGUACUGACAGACUUUUACAAUUAAACACAUGGCCCUCUGAGCAAACGGAGUAUUGCCUAAGAAGAGUUUGGCCAGUGUAAGACAGGCAUGUUACCGAAAGGCUGAAUCCUCUUUCCUCUUCUAAUUUCUCAAGUUAUAUUAGUCACAGAUGAUUUGGUACUGUUAUUAGGAGCUGAGGAUACCGCAUGAACAAAACUGAAGCCUCUGCUUUUCUGUAGGAAGACAGACCUGAAAUACAGAGGAGAUGCUGGGUACAGUGAAGAACUAUAAACCAGGAAGGACCACACUGCUGUAUGGAGAAUAGACUGCAUGGAGGGUACUAAAAACAUCGUAGUUGCAAUUGCAGAGUCUGUGCUUGAUAAUGAGUCAGGAAGAAGAUGAAGAUCACCAGGAGACUGGAAAACAAAAACUGAUGUCCAAGUGUUCAGCAAGAAAAAAAAAUGUGACUCUAG